ACGGGAGGCAGCAGUGGGGAAUAUUGGGCAAUGGGCGCAAGCCUGACCCAGCAACGCCGCGUGAAGGAAGAAGGCUUUCGGGUUGUAAACUUCUUUUAAGGGGGAAGAGCAGAAGACUGUACCCCUAGAAUAAGCCACGGCUAACUACGUGCCAGCAGCCGCGGUAAUACGUAGGUGGCAAGCGUUGUCCGGAUUUACUGGUGUAAAGGGCGUGUAGCCGGGGAGGCAAGUCAGAUGUGAGAUCCACGGGCUUAACUCGUGAACUGCAUUUGAAACUGUUGGUCUUGAGUAUCGGAGAGGCAAUCGGAAUUCCUAGUGUAGCGGUGAAAUGCGUAGAUAUUAGGAGGAACACCAGUGGCGAAGGCGGAUUGCUGGACGACAACUGACGGUGAGGCGCGAAAGCGUGGGGAGCAAACAGGAUUAGAUACCCUGGUA
rnacentral:rRNA from 1 species